AUUUGGGCACGAUAGGCAACGCAAGUAAAGAAGAAAGGCAGACAGGCAACGCAACAAAGAGAUAUAGAAUCUACAGUAGAGAACAUUAGUGAUUUGGAGGAUGAUCAAAGCCAUCGUGUGGCGAAGUCGCUUUUACACUCAGUGAAGUGGGAACGCAUUAUUUUGGAUGAGGCUCACUUUGUCAAAGAUAGGCGAUGUAAUACUGCAAAAGCAGUUCUCGGACUGGAGUCUUCAUACAGAUGGGCUUUAAGUGGAACACCUCUUCAAAAUCAUGUUGGGGAGCUCUACUUUCUUUUCCUCAAAACAAUGUCCUGAAUGCUCUCACAGUUCUGUACGGCACUUUUGUUGGUGGAAUCGAUAUAUAGCGAAUCCUAUACAAGCACAUGGAAAUGCCGUUGGCAGAAGGCGAGCAAUGAUAUUACUAAAACACAAUUUUGAAAAACAAUUUGCUGAGACGCACAAAAAAGGGAAGAGCUGCUGAUCUUGCACUUCCACCUAGAAUUGUUACUUUGAGGUGGGAUACACUGGACAUUAGAGAAGAGGAUUAUUACAUAUCAUUGUACAAUGAGAGCCAAUCUAACCUUGUGCGGUGUGCAUAUUGAUUGGUAUUUCACUUUCUUCUCUGGGCUUGUGGGACUUUGAGUAUCGCAUUGUAUGUCAACAAGUGAAUGUCACUUAUUUGGAGGAGGUGAUGAAGCACUUCAUGCAAACCUUAUAGGAGAAAGCAGAGUGGGCGCAAGAUUGGAAGUAUCUUUUCAUACAUAUCGGGGAUAAGCUUUGCUUCAGCAUCUUCAGUGCCAGAAGUGCAGUUGGCCCAAUAUGUUCCUGCCCCGGAAAGAAUUGCCACCCUGAGGUUGCUUAAGCAAGUGCUUUAAAGUGCUCAAGAUUAUUUAUUCUCUCAUUAUGUGUACUAUAAAGAAAAUAUAUAUGUCAUUCUUGUGGAAAAUGUAGAUGAAUGUAUUUCAUUUUCAUAUUAUUAUAAUAUUUUGAUGUUAUUAAGUGCUUAA